ensembl:lncRNA novel transcript
AUGGUUGCUAGGAGUUAGGAGUAGGGAGACUGAUCAACUACAAUGAAACCACACAAGAAAAAGUCUUGGGUUGAUGGUGCUGUUCUGUAUUUUUAUUAUGGUUGUGAUUACAUAACACUAUGUACUUAUCAGAAUUUAUAAAACUACACAAAAUCGGUAAAUUUUACAGUAGGUAAAAUUUUAAAAUUGCAUCUUCUUAGCAGUACCUGCUCUUUCAUAAGUUUUCUAGCUCCAUCUUCUUUUCCAUUUAUUCACUGAAAAAGUAAUUAUUAGUGGCUACAAGUUGCCAUACAUUGGAAUUAGAGAUAAACAUUAAAAAACAAGAUGAAAAUAUGUUUGCUUUCAUGGAGCUUACUAUCCACUCAGAGGAAAUAGGAGUUACGAAGGAAAAUGUAUAAUGUCGUCUGAUGAUACAGGGAUAUUAUAACCAAUUAAUGGAAAGAAACAUUUAAGACAACACCUUCCUCUAUGUUUACAUCAGGAUGCAUUUUUGUAAUUGAGGACUGGGGAUUCAAAGUGAACAUGAGUCACUGCCAUAAUGUUGCUUACAUACUAAUGGAGAAUGAAGACGAAAAGAUAACUGUAAGAAAUAUAAUACGUUAAACAGAAAAAAAUUCUUCAGGAUAAUGUUUAUCUGAAGUGGGGAAAAGAAAGGAGAAAAUAUAGGGUCAGAAUUAAACUGUAUAUGGAAAUUCUAUUUUCCAAAGGACAUAAAUAGAAAAAAAAAAAAAAAAAAACUAGAGACCUGAGACAGCAAUGGUCAACUAUUAAAAUCAUUUCAAACUUAUCA